rnacentral:rRNA from 1 species
UACGUAGGGGGCAAGCGUUGUCCGGAUUCAUUGGGCGUAAAGAGCGUGUAGGCGGCCAGGUAGGUCGGUUGUGAAAACUGGAGGCUCAACCUUCAGAGGUCGACCGAAACCAUCUGGCUAGAGUCCGGGAGAGGAGAGUGGAAUUCCUGGUGUAGCGGUGAAAUGCGUAGAUAUCGAGAGGAACACCUGCGGCGAAGGCGGGUUGCUGGGCUGACACUGACGCUGAGGCGCGAAAGCUAGGGGAGCGAACGGG